UACGGAGGGGGCUAGCGUUGUUCGGAAUUACUGGGCGUAAAGCGUGCGUAGGCGGCUUUGUAAGUUAGAGGUGAAAGCCCGGAGCUCAACUCCGGAACUGCCUUUAAGACUGCAUCGCUAGAACGUUGGAGAGGUGAGUGGAAUUCCGAGUGUAGAGGUGAAAUUCGUAGAUAUUCGGAAGAACACCAGUGGCGAAGGCGGGUCUCUGGGCCGAUACUGACGCUGAGGAGCGAAAGCGUGGGGAGCGAACAGG
rnacentral:rRNA from 1 species